UACGUAGGUGGCAAGCGUUGUCCGGAUUUAUUGGGUUUAAAGGGUGCGUAGGCGGUCCUAUAAGUCAGUUGUGAAAUACGGCGGCUUAACUGUCGGGGUGCAAUUGAUACUGCAUGACUUGAGUACAGACGAGGUAGGCGGAAUUGACGGUGUAGCGGUGAAAUGCGUAGAUAUCGGCAAGAACACCGAUAGCGAAGGCAGCUUACUAGACUGUAACUGACGCUGAUGCACGAAAGUGUGGGGAUCAAACAGG
rnacentral:rRNA from 1 species